UUAGGACAGAAGGGGAUGGGGUGGGAUGGGGAGACGCAGGCCUGAUGAACAGAACUUCAGAGCCACAGCCGUGUCCUGUAAAUGUUAGACUGUUGAGCCUGCCAGAUUUUUACACCUCUUUUCUGCAAGGAAAAGAGUGUUUAUACAGACUUUGUGGCCAAUUAUAUUUAUUAAAUACUACUAAUCACAGCAAUGUAAGAUUAUUUCUAAUGUCCCUAAUGCUAUUUUUAAACGUUUUGGUGAGGAUUUAGACAGGGAAAUUUGAAGCACUUGCUAAAAGCAGCUCUGAAAUGUGUACUCCUGAUUAUGGUUUUCCAAACACUAAAUGCGCCUGUGUGUGAAUUACUGCUCAGAAUAUUACAAAUAUUAGCUAACUGCACCCAGGGUGGUGAUUAAAGUUCACACACACACACACACACACACACACACUCAACUCAUUCUGCUUUGGUGAAAUAUUGCAAACUGUUUUUCUGACAAUUUGGCAGCAUCACAUGCACAAGAUGAAAUCAAAUCUUUUUGACCUUUAAGUCGCUACAUAAUCUGUCCCCAUGCUAUGCUUUCAUCUCAUGUACACUCUUCCCCUAACACACCUCACUCCAAUCCUAUGUAUGUCUUUCUUAUUUCUCCAACAUGCUUGGACUCCAUGUGCCACAUCACCUGUGCUUCUGCGGUCCGUUCUGCCUGGAAUAUUCCCUCGGAUGGUCACGUGACUGGUCCCUUCCCCUCACUCAAGUGUCUUCACAGACGCUGCUUCCUCAAGAAGGCUUUCCCCAUUAUCUUCGUACUUCUCAGUCUUUAUUAUUUUGUCUCUGUUUCUUCAUAGAAUUUAUAGACAUUUACCAGCAUGCCAUUGCUCUCAGAGCACACAGCACGAUGCCUAACCUCACCUGGGGACAUCAGACAAAGAUCCUGAAAGGGGAAGCAGGAGUUAACCAGGUGAAAGCUGUAUGGAUGAUAGAGAGUAGCCCCUUCAACAUCAAGGCCAAACAGAGCACUGCUGAUGGCUAACAUUUUUAGGUUGCAAGUGAUCUGGCCUUGGAGAUACGGUAACUGGUUGGGAACACAAAGUUGUCACCCAAGCAAAGGAUGACAGUGGAUGUCAAGAAGCAAGACUAUGCUGGAUCCUUUCUGCUGUUCUACCAGAUCCAUCCUCCACCCUCAUCUAUCAUUGUCUGUGUGGAUCUUGAUCAAUGGACUUUGCCUCUGGCUCCUGAUUGGGUUUGCACAAUGGGAAGCAGAAGAAAGUGAAGUUGUGGCUCCUUCUUUUCAUAGAGCUGCAGGUUGGACAUGCCCGUUUCCUCAAGUCUACAGCCCUUUUCAGCUGGAAUUCGCCAGCUAACAACUUCCUCCAGGUUUAGAUAGCUACUAAAUUAUCUUGCCCCUUCAGGGUUAAGGGGUAAUGGGUUCCCCUCUAUUAGUAGCCAGUGGGUAAUGAACUAUCUCUGGUUUGUUCCUUAAAACAUGCCCAUAAUAGUCUCUUUAAAUAAUUCUCCUCAAAUUACCUGGCCUGAGUAGGUCUCACUGGAACUUUGAUUCAUGCACACACUUAGUUCGUUCUUUGCAACCACUCAAUGGCAUAGGUGGGUACGUGAUGUCACUUUCUUGCUUAAAAUGUUUUAGUGCCUUGUCAUUGUAAUUGAAAUAAAACCCAAAGAGUAUGGUUUGCAAGGCCAUACUUGACCUGGUGUCUGCCUCCCUCUCCAGGCCAAUCUCUCCCCACUCUCCUUCAACCCUGUUGCAAGUCGCGUUAAGAUCCCCUGUGGCUCUUCCUCUUGAGGUGCUCAUCCCCGAGAUCUG